rnacentral:rRNA from 1 species
CGGCAGGCUAACACAUGCAAGUCGGACGGUAGCACACAUAAGCUUGCUCCUUGUGUGACGAGUGGCGGACGGGUGGAUAAAUGUCUGGGGAUCUGCCCCUAUAGAGGGGGAUAACCACUGGAAACGUGUGGCUAAUACCGCAUAACGUCGCAAGACCAAAGAGGGGGACCUUCGGGCCUCUCACUAUCGGAUGAACCCAGAUGGGAUUAUCUUGUAGGCGGGGUAAUGGCCCACCUAGUCGACGAUCCCUAUCUUGUCUGAGAGGAUGACCACCCACACUGGAACUGAGACACGGUCCAGACUCCUACGGGAGGCAGCAGUGGGGAAUAUUGCACAAUGGGCGCAAGCCUGAUGCAGCCAUGCCGCGUGUAUGAAGAAGGCCUUCGGGUUGUAAAGUACUAUCAGCGGGGAGGAAGGCGGUGCGGUUAAUAACCGCGCCGGAUGGACGUUACCCGCAGAAGAAGCACCGGCUAACUCCGUGCCAGCAGCCGCGGUAAUACGGAGGGUGCAAGCGUUAAUCGGAAUUACUGGGCGUAAAGCGCACGCAGGCGGUCUGUUAAGUCAGAUGUGAAAUCCCCGGGCUUAACCUGGGAACUGCAUUUGAAACUGGCAGGCUUGAGUCUCGUAGAGGGGGGUAGAAUUCCAGUUGAAACGGUGAAAUGCGUAGAGAUCUGGAGGAAUACCGGUGGCGAAGCCCGCCCCCCUCAACAAAGACUGACGCUCAGGUGCG